rnacentral:rRNA from 1 species
AAAGAUUAAGCCAUGCAUGUCUAAGUAUAAGCAAUUUGUACUGUGAAACUGCGAAUGGCUCAUUAAAUCAGUUAUCGUUUAUUUGAUAAUACCUUACUACAUGGAUACCUGUGGUAAUUCUAGAGCUAAUACAUGCUAAAAACCUCGACUUCGGAAGGGGUGUAUUUAUUAGAUAAAAAACCAAUGCCCUUCGGGGCUCCUUGGUGAAUCAUAAUAACUUAGCGAAUCGCAUGGCCUUGCGCCGGCGAUGGUUCAUUCAAAUUUCUGCCCUAUCAACUUUCGAUGGUAGGAUAGUGGCCUACCAUGGUGGCAACGGGUAACGGGGAAU